GUGCUCCCCCGCCAAUUCCUUUAAGUUUCAGCCUUGCGACCGUACUUCCCAGGCGGCGCGUUUCACGAUUUCUCUUCGGCACCUCGGUGACUCGUGGUCACCGAUACACCUAACGCGCAUCGUUUACAGCUGGGACUACCCGGGUAUCUAAUCCGGUUUGCUCCCCCAGCUUUCGUUCCUCACUGUCGGAGCCGCCCUGGUGAGACGCCUUCGCCACAGGUGGUCCCCCAAGGAUUACAGGAUUUCACUCCUACCCCUGGAGUACCUCUCACCUCUUCCGGUCCCUAGUCUGCCAGUAUCCCUGAGACGCCUUCCGGUUAAGCCGGAAGAUUUCCCCAGAGACUUAACAGACCAGCUACGAACGCUUUAAGCCCAGUAAUAGUGGCCACCACUCGAGCCGCCGGUAUUACCGCGGCGGCUGGCACCGGUCUUGCCCGGCCCUUUCUUCACCAGUUAUUUACACUGGCGGACAGCCUGAUUUUACAGGCACUCGGAGUUCCCUUAUCACGAUUGCCCGCAUUGUAAAGUUUUCGCGCCUGCUGCACCCCGU
rnacentral:rRNA from 1 species